UACGAAGGGUGCAAGCGUUACUCGGAAUUACUGGGCGUAAAGCGUGCGUAGGCGGUUUGUUAAGUCCGUUGUGAAAGCCCUGGGCUCAACCUGGGAAUUGCAGUGGAUACUGGCGAGCUAGAGUGCGGUAGAGGAUGGUGGAAUUCCCGGUGUAGCGGUGAAAUGCGUAGAGAUCGGGAGGAACACCAGUGGCGAAGGCGACUUCCUGGCCUGUUCUUGACGCUGAGGCGCGAAAGCUAGGGUAGCAAACGGG
rnacentral:rRNA from 1 species